rnacentral:rRNA from 1 species
UCCACGCCCUAAACGAUGAACACUAGUCGUCGCUCUGCUAGUCAGGGCGGUGAUGCACUUAACAGAUUAAGUGUUCCGCCUGGGGAGUACGGUCGCAAGAUUAAAAACUCAAAGGAAUAGACGGGGACCCGCACAAGUGGUGGAGCAUGUGGUUUAAUUCGAAAAUACGCGAAGAACCUUACCUAGCCUUGACAUUGAUAGAACGGACCAGAGAUGGACCGGUGCC